GUUCAGGGGGUCAAAUUAGCUGACAAAGCUGCGGAAGAAAAAUAAAAGAGGAGAAUAAUAAUAAUCCCUUCAGUUACAAUAAGGCUUCGCACAAAUUUCGUGCUCGAGUAAUAAUCAGCUCUGCCAUC